rnacentral:rRNA from 1 species
CCUUUCUGAAGAACUGUAAUGCCAUUAAUUUGGUGUUGCAGGGAAACAGGACUGUUACUUUGAAAAAAUUAGAGUGUUUAAAGCAGGCUAACGCUUGAAUACAUUAGCAUGGAAUAAUGAAAUAGGACGUUUGAUCCUAUUUUGUUGGUUUCUAGGAUUGACGUAAUGAUUAAUAGGGAUAGUUGGGGGCAUUAGUAUUCAAUUGUCAGAGGUGAAAUUCUUGGAUUUAUUGAAGACUGACUACUGCGAAAGCAUUUGCCAAGGAUGUUUUCAUUAAUCAAGAACGAAAGUUAGGGGAUCGAAGACGAUCAGAUACCGUCGUAGUCUUAACCAUAAACUAUGCCGACUAGGGAUCGGAUGAUGUUAAUUUUUUAAUGACUCAUUCGGCGCCUUACG